rnacentral:rRNA from 1 species
UAAUACGUAGGGGCCUAGCGUUGUCCGGAUUUAUUGGGCGUAAAGAGCUCGUAGGCGGUUUGGUGAGUCGGGUGUGAAAUCUCCACGCUCAACGUGGAGGGGCCACCCGAUACUGCCAUGACUAGAGUCCGGUAGGGGAGUGUGGAAUUCCCGGUGUAGCGGUGAAAUGCGCAGAUAUCGGGAGGAACACCAGUAGCGAAGGCGACACUCUGGGCCGGUACUGACGCUGAGGAGCGAAAGCGUGGGGAGCAAACAGGAUUAGAUACCCUGGUAGUCCACGCUGUAAACGUUGGGCACUAGGUGUGGGACUCUAUCGACGGGUUCCGUGCCGUAGCUAACGCAUUAAGUGCCCCGCCUGGGGAGUACGGCCGCAAGGCUA